rnacentral:rRNA from 1 species
AGCGUACACGGUGGAUGCCCUGGCAGUCAGAGGCGAUGAAGGACGUGCUAAUCUGCGAAAAGCGCCGGUAAGGUGAUAUGAACCGUUAUAACCGGCGAUGUCCGAAUGGGGAAACCCGGUGCACUUCGGUGCAUCAUCGUUAGCUGAAUACAUAGGCUAACGAGGCGAACCGGGGGAACUGAAACAUCUAAGUACCCCGAGGAAAAGAAAUCAACCGAGAUUCCCCCAGUAGCGGCGAGCGAACGGGGAACAGCCCAGAGCCUGAAUCAGCUUGUGUGUCAGUGGAACGGUCUGGAAAGGCCGGCGAUACAGGGUGACAGCCCCGUACACGAAGGCACACAGGCUGUGAGCUCGAUGAGUAGGGCGGGACACGUGAUAUCCUGUCUGAAGAUGGGGGGACCAUCCUCCAAGGCUAAAUACUCCUGACUGACCGAUAGUGAACCAGUACCGUGAGGGAAAGGCGAAAAGAACCCCGGCGAGGGGAGUGAAACAGAACCUGAAACCGUGUACGUACAAGCAGUGGGAGCCUUCGUAAGAGGGUGACUGCGUACCUUUUGUAUAAUGGGUCAGCGACUUAUAUUCUGUAGCAAGGUUAACCGUAUAGGGGAGCCGAAGGGAAACCGAGUCUUAACUGGGCGUUAAGUUGCAGGGUAUAGACCCGAAACCCGGUGAUCUAGCCAUGGGCAGGUUGAAGGUUGGGUAACACUAACUGGAGGACCGAACCGACUAAUGUUGAAAAAUUAGCGGAUGACCUGUGGCUGGGGGUGAAAGGCCAAUCAAACCGGGAGAUAGCUGGUUCUCCCCGAAAGCUAUUUAGGUAGCGCCUCGUGAAUUCAUCUCCGGGGGUAGAGCACUGUUUCGGCUAGGGGGCCAUCCCGGCUUACCAACCCGAUGCAAACUACGAAUACCGAAGAAUGUUAUCACGGGAGACACACGGCGGGUGCUAACGUCCGUCGUGAAGAGGGAAACAACCCAGACCGCCAGCUAAGGUCCCAAAGUCAUGGUUAAGUGGGAAACGAUGUGGGAAGGCCCAGACAGCCAGGAUGUUGGCUUAGAAGCAGCCAUCAUUUAAAGAAAGCGUAAUAGCUCACUGGUCGAGUCGGCCUGCGCGGAAGAUGUAACGGGGCUAAACCAUGCACCGAAGCUGCGGCAGCGACACUAUGUGUUGUUGGGUAGGGGAGCGUUCUGUAAGCCUGCGAAGGUGUGCUGUGAGGCAUGCUGGAGGUAUCAGAAGUGCGAAUGCUGACAUAAGUAACGAUAAAGCGGGUGAAAAGCCCGCUCGCCGGAAGACCAAGGGUUCCUGUCCAACGUUAAUCGGGGCAGGGUGAGUCGACCCCUAAGGCGAGGCCGAAAGGCGUAGUCGAUGGGAAACAGGUUAAUAUUCCUGUACUUGGUGUUACUGCGAAGGGGGGACGGAGAAGGCUAUGUCGGCCGGGCGACGGUUGUCCCGGUUUAAGCGUGUAGGCUGACUUUCCAGGCAAAUCCGGAAGGUUAAGGCUGAGGCGUGAUGACGAGGCACCACGGUGCUGAAGUGACAAAUGCCCUGCUUCCAGGAAAAGCCUCUAAGCAUCAGGUAACAUCAAAUCGUACCCCAAACCGACACAGGUGGUCAGGUAGAGAAUACCAAGGCGCUUGAGAGAACUCGGGUGAAGGAACUAGGCAAAAUGGUGCCGUAACUUCGGGAGAAGGCACGCUGACAUGUAGGUGAAGCCCCUGCGGGUGGAGCUGAAGUCAGUCGAAGAUACCAGCUGGCUGCAACUGUUUAUUAAAAACACAGCACUGUGCAAACACGAAAGUGGACGUAUACGGUGUGACGCCUGCCCGGUGCCGGAAGGUUAAUUGAUGGGGUUAUCGCAAGAGAAGCUCCUGAUCGAAGCCCCGGUAAACGGCGGCCGUAACUAUAACGGUCCUAAGGUAGCGAAAUUCCUUGUCGGGUAAGUUCCGACCUGCACGAAUGGCGUAAUGAUGGCCAGGCUGUCUCCACCCGAGACUCAGUGAAAUUGAACUCGCUGUGAAGAUGCAGUGUACCCGCGGCAAGACGGAAAGACCCCGUGAACCUUUACUAUAGCUUGACACUGAACAUUGAGCCUUGAUGUGUAGGAUAGGUGGGAGGCUUUGAAGCGUGGACGCCAGUCUGCGUGGAGCCGUCCUUGAAAUACCACCCUUUAAUGGCUGGUGUUCUAACGUAGACCCGUAAUCCGGGUUGCGGACAGUGUCUGGUGGGUAGUUUGACUGGGGCGGUCUCCUCCCAAAGAGUAACGGAGGAGCACGAAGGUUAGCUAAUCCUGGUCGGACAUCAGGAGGUUAGUGCAAUGGCAUAAGCUAGCUUGACUGCGAGAGUGACGGCUCGAGCAGGUGCGAAAGCAGGUCAUAGUGAUCCGGUGGUUCUGUAUGGAAGGGCCAUCGCUCAACGGAUAAAAGGUACUCCGGGGAUAACAGGCUGAUACCGCCCAAGAGUUCAUAUCGACGGCGGUGUUUGGCACCUCGAUGUCGGCUCAUCACAUCCUGGGGCUGAAGUAGGUCCCAAGGGUAUGGCUGUUCGCCAUUUAAAGUGGUACGCGAGCUGGGUUUAGAACGUCGUGAGACAGUUCGGUCCCUAUCUGCCGUGGGCGCUGGAGAAUUGAGGGGGGCUGCUCCCAGUACGAGAGGACCGGAGUGGACGCAUCACUGGUGUUCGGGUUGUCAUGCCAAUGGCACUGCCCGGUAGCUAAAUGCGGAAGAGAUAAGUGCUGAAAGCAUCUAAGCACGAAACUUGCCCCGAGAUGAGUUCU